rnacentral:rRNA from 1 species
GCGAACGGGUGAGUAACACGUGAGCAACCUGCCCCUGACUCUGGGAUAAGCGGUGGAAACGCCGUCUAAUACCGGAUACGACCUUUCAGCUCAUGCUGGAGGGUGGAAAGUUUUAUCGGUCAGGGAUGGGCUCGCGGCCUAUCAGCUUGUUGGUGGGGUAAAGGCCUACCAAGGCGAUUACGGGUAGCCGGCCUGAGAGGGCGACCGGCCACACUGGGACUGAGACACGGCCCAGACUCCUGCGGGAGGCAGCAGUGGGGAAUAUUGCACAAUGGGCGAAAGCCUGAUGCAGCGACGCCGCGUGGGGGAUGACGGCCUUCGGGUUGUAAACCUCUUUUACCACCAACGCAGGCUCCACGUUCUCGUGGGGUUGACGGUAGGUGGGGAAUAAGGACCGGCUAACUACGUGCCAGCAGCCGCGGUAAUACGUAGGGUCCGAGCGUUGUCCGGAAUUAUUGGGCGUAAAGAGCUCGUAGGCGGCGUGUCACGUCUGCUGUGAAAGACCGGGGCUUAACUCCGGUUCUGCAGUGGAUACGGGCAUGCUAGAGGUAGGUAGGGGAGACUGGAAUUCCUGGUGUAGCGGUGAAAUGCGCAGAUAUCAGGAGGAACACCGGUGGCGAAGGCGGGUCUCUGGGCCUUACCUGACGCUGAGGAGCGAAAGCAUGGGGAGCGAACAGGAUUAGAUACCCUGGUAGUCCAUGCCGUAAACGUUGGGCGCUAGGUGUGGGGACUUUCCACGGUUUCCGCGCCG